rnacentral:misc_RNA from 1 species
GGCUGACAAGAAGCAGCAGCGACGGAGAGAUAAAAAAGACAGCCUCGACAGCCUCGGAUUGAAAACUACUUUUCCAUAGAAAGUUCACUACCUUGUCAGCUGUCUUCAGAACCAACAGCAUCAGCUUUUGCAGCUGUGUCAAGUACUUACAGGCCACGAUAGAGGACCGCUUCUGUGCAGAAGCCUGCGCACUCCAACGGCUUUAAUAGUUGAAUGUGUGACGCAAUCCUCCCUCUCCACAGCGAGAACAAAAGACAGAAAAAAAUGCUUUGCUCGAUUGUUUUUUCAGGGAUCCAAGUGCCUUUUCUCGGCGACGAGCUCCGCUCAUAGAGGGCCCUCUGGGCGCGGUAUGAUGAGAAGGAUGGCAUGCUGCACCCAAAGGCCUUCUGGCCCACCUUGCCAUUUACUCCUUGUGUUCAAUAACGAUGCUGCUGACGUGAUGAUCGAAUACACUGGGAAGAGGCAUGAGAAUUGAAAACUGCGGCAGACACCGGUGCUCGGGUUGGGAGAGGGGGCUGAAAGCCUUUCUGGACACGACAUUCCUCACGCUCGAGAUAAGAAGCACGCCGUUGAGAGAGCGACUCUAUGUGCUAUGGCCAGCCGGCACAGAUCGACCUCGGCGAUCCUUCCUGCGCUCGAGAAGCGUGCUCAUGGUUUAGGUGUAACGCCGAUAUGCUCAUAGCGUAUUGCUUUUACGACUUCAUGAUAAGGGAGAACACCCCAACGCGCCAUCCUUGUCCACCAUCCACUCUGCGAGGAAGCCAGGCUGCCGUCCUCUCCCUGCUAGCGCCGAACCACUUCUGGUGGUGUCAGGGCCAGGUGCUUACGACGUACAAAGGUGAGGGCGAUUUGCCGCUACCGAUGUGGGCGGCCAGGUCCCCUGGAUGGCGCUGCGUCGGAGCGGCCGGUGACAACGAACGCGUAUCAUCCCCCUGAUGGGCAGAGUGUCAGCUUCACUCGAGUGUAUCCCAGCUGGUCCUCACUGCCCAUGGGUGGGGGCCCGAGUGACUUGGAGGGGUGCACCAGGUGGCGGCUGGCAGGGGGGGGGGGCUGUGCGGCGACCUGCGGGGCAGACGGGUAGAGUGUGAGGCAGGGGCCGUGAUCUCAGCUGGCUGGGCCGGCGUAUUGCUGUAAUGUGUGUCUAGGUCUGCUUCGCGCCACGAGAUGGGAUCCUGUGACAGGCCGGGUAGAGUGGAGUUUCACUCUUGUUUUCUCGUAAAAUGGACACAGUGACGGUAAUAUAUUUUUCUCCUCUGCCUUCGCGUGAUGAAUUCAAUGACCUUGCAGGUUGCAAUACCUUGCGUUUGUCGUUACCGCGGAUGCGAAGGUGGUAUCAAGGAACUGCUAAAGUGAGGGUUUUGCUAUUCCAUGUUUCCAAAUUACUGAGAUUAGGCUACUCACACUGCG